rnacentral:rRNA from 1 species
AUGCUUUGUUUGUAUGUUGAUGACAUACUGAUUUUCGGAACAAAUCUGAAUGUUAUUAAGGAGGUCAAGGAUUUCCUAUCUCGCUGUUUUGAGAUGAAGGAUUUAGGAGUGGCUGAUGUCAUUCUGAACAUCAAGUUGUUGAGAGACGAUGAUGGUGGGAUUACAUUGCUUCAAUCUCACUAUGUGGAAAAGAUCUUGAGUCGCUUUGGCUACAGUGACUGCAAGCCCUCUCCAACACCAUAUGAUGCUAGCGUGCUGCUUCAAAAGAAUCGAAGAAUUGCUAGAGAUCAAUUGAAGUAUUCUCAGAUUAUUGGCUCGCUUAUGUACUUGGCCAGUGCUACAAGACCUGACAUCUCUUUUGCUGUUAGCAAACUGAGUCGGUUUGUCUCAAAACCAGGAGAUGUGCAUUGGAAAGCUCUAGAGAGAGUUUUGCGUUAUUUGAAAGGCACUGCAAAUUAUGGAAUUCACUACACCGGGCACCCAAAGGUGCUUGAAGGGUAUAGUGACUCAAACUGGAUCUCAGAUGCUGAUGAGAUAAAGGCCACGAGCGGAUAUGUUGAGCAGCUCAAAGGAUAA